AGCGCAGGCAGCGCCAAAGGCUAUUGGCUGCCACCGCCGCCCAUCCCAACCCCACCACCAAUAGCAGCGCAGGGCUUUGCUGCUCUAACGGGAGGGCGCCCUCAGCCCCGCCUGGGCCAAUAGCGUGGGAGAAGACACUUCAAACCUGGAAAUUAUUUGUUUAGUCUGCACCUAGAAUGUGAAAAGGUUCAACAGGAAACCAGAUUCUCAGAUGUUUUUACAGAAUCAGAGGAUCAACCAGGUUGGAAAAGACCUUUAUAGAUCAUCAAGUCCAACCAUUUCCUAUAGGGCAAGCAUGCAGUUUUCUAAGAGGCUGGAGAUGGUUUCACAGCUCCACACCAAAAGGUUUCUGGAUGGUGCCUAAAGCAUUGUAAACAUCGUAUCUCUUAAAAACAAUCCUGGUCAUUUUGUGGUGUCUCUUAAGAAAGGAAAAAUAAAAAUAAAGUAAUAGUAA